UAAAGACUGUGGGGUUGAUAUAAACCAAUGGGGUUGAAUCCCAGAGUUUAGGGGCUGUUUUGUGGGGCUUUGUUUUGUUUUGUUAUGGCUCUGGGAGAAGAAAGCCUGGAGAUCACCGCUGUGGAUCCAACGUUUCCAGGCAAUGAAAGAAAGUUUUGAAUUCAGCUUUUGGAGCUGAAAUGCUUCUGGAAGUCGCAUCACUGGAGCUUCACCGUGCUAGAUGGAGGCAGAGAGCACUCAGAGUGCCAAGUCCCAUUCCGUUUCUGGCUGAGCAGAAGAGAGGCAGUGUGUUUGCACUCCGGAGGACAGGAGCUGGCUGGACUCCUUUUGAACCACUGCAAAUUACUGGGAGCACAGCAGUGACACUGGGUGCCUAGAUUUGUCAUCGUGAUACUCACGGCACCUGAUAAAACCUGGAUUUCAUCAGGGCUUUUAUAUGUACAAGUUCAUUCAGUGUGUUUGCCAAAAUAAUCCUAGGGAUGGGAUGUUUUUGAGCCUCGGAUCCAUCCAAAGUUCCAGGUCACCGAAAGUUGUCACGGCAGCGUGAAAAGCUCCGACAUCAUAAAAAGAAGAGUUAAAAUGCAGAUACCAGUCCAGAGGAUCUACCUCUUGGAGGCUCUGGAGCAGGAAGAGGCAGCAUGCUGACCUGCUAUGUGCUCAGGCUGGUCCAGUCCUGCUACUAUUGCAAUUAACACCAAAACUCCUGGGACCAAAGGAACCAAACCCUGCCUACACUGCUACUGCAGCAGUGGAUAGCACUGAGCUAGAGGCUUGGAGAAAACAGGGCUGCAUGGAGCCGCAUCUGCAAGUCAUCCAGUCCUAUACAAAUCUACAGGAAGAUCCCACUGGGAUUUCCUCGGAGAUGGCUGAUCUAAAGGUGCCCAGAGAAAUCAUGCACUGCGAGAGGACAAGCCAAGAAGCACUGGAGUCACCAAAAGACUCAGACGCAGCCACAGACAGCGCAGAAAUUACCACAACGCAGGGAAAAGAGCCAAAAGGGGGAAACUAUGAACUACUCCCUUGCAGCACAGUCUAAAUUCAAUGAAAACUGAUCCUUGGAAUGCACCGUUAACUCCUGUCUGCAUGUGUGCAGGACACACAGUGAAUUUUCAGAUUUCACCCCUUUCCUACUCAGAACUCCCUGCCAAGUCACAGUGAGAAGAGGAGCACACUGCAGAGACAGAGUUUCUCCUUCUGCCUGCUCUCCCACGUGCGGAGGCACACGUCGCUGAGAGUGAUGAAAGCAGAAGGAGCCCAGCGUGUUUAUUUUCUUGUAUCAAAAGGCUAUUCUGACAAAUCUAUUUUGGGUAGUUUUAGUUCAAUGGUCCUUUCGUAAAGUACACUCAAACCUUUAAAGGUUCAAAUAACUUUUUGUAAAGUAAAAUGAGAUUUUUCUGUCACCGUCUGUUUGCACAUCCCUUUUUCUUGUACGAUACUUUAAAAGGACAUUAAGCAAAGCACUUGAAAGGCAGGUAAGUGUUGCUAACGCAGUCUUAACUUUAGGACUGCACAGAAUAGCACAACUUGCCAGCAGUCUUGUCAAAACCAUCCCCAUCCCAUUCAAAGCGUUUCUUCUGAAAUUCACUGAUUAGCACAAUUUCGUUCCCUGAAUGACUUGAAUUGUGUACCUAGGAAAACGCGCAUGUAGGCCAGCACAGUGCUGGCUUAAUGAUCAUACCUUCACCACCUGGAUAGGAGAAGUGCUAAAUUCUGUCAUAUUAGUGUUUGAAAGGAACGUUUUGUUUUGCAUAAAGCGAUAAAGCGCUCAAAGAGCUAGAGCAGCUCUCCUGUGAAGAAAGUUUGAGGGAGUUGGGCUUGUUUGUCUCGGAGAUGAGAAGGGUGCUGAGGGAGCUGGGGGAGGUGAUAGCCAAGCCACUUUCCAUCAUCUAUCAGCGUUUCCGGUCAACCAGAGAGGUCCCAGGAUUGAAGGCUUGCCAGAGUGACUCCCAUCUACAAGAAGGGUCAUAAGGAGGAUCUGGGGAACUACAGGCCUGUCAGCCUGACCUUGGUGCCAGGUAAGGUUACGGA